rnacentral:misc_RNA from 1 species
UUUUUACUAGGAACCCCUGAGGCUGUAUUUAGCAAUUAAAUAUAAAACCAAUCAAAAAACCAAGGUUUAGAAUAUGUACACACACAAACACAAACACAAACACAAAACACAGAUAUACACAAGUAGUAAGUGAAUUUGGCAACUUGAGUUCGGUCAUUGCAAGUGGUUAUUGGUUAGGGUUUCUUUUGUCCCUUGCAUUUCAACCAAAAAUAUUAAAAUUUGAUAUAUUGUUUUUAGUAAGCUACUGCACAUAUUAGAAUAUGAAUUUGCAUAAAAAGUAGAAUGGUGUGACUUAUUUUUUGGAAUUGUAUUGAGAAGAUUCAAGAUUUUUUUAUUUGGUGUUGAGAAUUUUAAUAACAAUUUAUUUAAUUUUCAUUUUGCAUUAUUAGUUAAUUCAGAUUUCUUUUCAUUUGUUAUAAAAAAAAAUGGGCGAAUUUUACUGGAAAAUUUUAUACUGCUGAGCAGCAGGUCUAAUGGUCAAAGGUUGAGUGGGAGGGAGGAGAGAGUGAUGGUGAUUCUCCUAUUUGUUUCUUGCAAAUGCUUCUCAUAACUAAGCAUAUUGCUGAGAUAAGCCCAUUUUGCUUAGUUCCUCGUUGUUCUCCAUAAUAUAACAGUUAAGUGUUUGAAUACAUCAAUGAUAAUGUUCUGCAGAUCUGUUUAUGGUGACAAAGCUAUGGAACUGCCAGAAAGGACAAAUGAAAUGGCAGGAGUUUAUGCAAGGCAAUGUGUUGAGUUAGCAAAGGACUUGGGAAUUUGCUCCAUUGAUAUAUGGUACAAGAUGCAGGAAACAGAGGGUUGGCAGAAAAAAUUUCUGAGUGAUGGCUUGCACUUGACACCAGAAGGUAAUGCGGUAGUCUAUCAAGAGGUUGUAAGAGUGUUCAAUGAUGCACAGCUCUCUGCUGAAGAAAUGCCGUAUGAUUUCCCUCACCACUCAAAAAUUGAUGGAAAGAACCCUGAAAAAGCUUUCGAACAACAAUGCGUAUAGCACUGCAAUGUCGUCAUUUUUAUUCUUUAAUAAUGAAUCCAUUGGAUCAAACCAAGAAGUAUAGGUGCGCCUGCCAUCCACACCAGAAUAAAUGGAGUUUUCUAAAAAAACCUACUAGUUGAGGAAAACCUGCCAAGGAUAAGAGAUAUAGGGCUAAAGAGAGCCAAAAAAGGAUCUGUCGCGUAUAAUUGUCCUGCAUAAUCUCGAAUGUUAUAAGUUCUACUGCAUAGACCAAAUGAUAUAAGGCAAAGCAAAAGUUUCUGGAUUCAUGGAGAUAUAGAAGAGCAUAAGAGUUAUCAUGCUUGCAUAUGUAGUAUCUUGAUUUUUUUUCCCCUGAUUAUUUGAAUAUUGCUGCUUCACUGAUUGUUCUACAGAAAGCAUUUUGUCUUUCUGCUGUUGUGUAAAGAUGAACUUUUUCUAUCAGUGUUGAAAUUGAAGCCACCAUUUCCUUUUUCCCUUAUAUGCAGUUUUUCUACUAUUCCACAUGUGUUCAUGCCUGUAAUUUACUGCUAAUGUCAUGACUUUGAAAU